rnacentral:rRNA from 1 species
CCUACGGGCGGCAGCAGUGAGGAAUAUUGGUCAAUGGACGCAACUCUGAACCAGCCAUGCAGCGUGCAGGAUGACGGCUCUAUGAGUUGUAAACUGCUUUUGUACGAGGAUAAUAGGUCUUACGUGUAGGGAUUUGAAGGUAUCGUACGAAUAAGGAUCGGCUAAUUCCGUGCCAGCAGCCGCGGUAAUACGGAGGAUUCGAGCGUUAUCCGGAUUUAUUGGGUUUAAAGGGUGCGUAGGCUGUCGGAUAAGUUAGAGGUCAAAUGUCGGGGCUUAACCCCGGGACUGCAGCGGAUACUGGGCGACUAGAGAGCGGAUGAAGCAGGCGGAAUGAGUAGUGUAGCGGUGAAAUGCUUAGAGAUUACGCAGAACACCGAUUGCGCAGGCAGCUUGCUAAUCCGCAUCUGACGCUGAUGCUCGAAAGCGUGGGUAGCGAACAGGAUUAGAUACCCUGGUAGUC